CGGUGGAGCAUGUGGUUUAAUUCGAUGCAACGCGAAGAACCUUACCAGGUCUUGACAUCCAACGAAUCCUUCUGAAAGGAAGGAGUGCCUUCGGGAGCGUUGAGACAGGUGGUGCAUGGUUGUCGUCAGCUCGUGUCGUGAGAUGUUGGGUUAAGUCCCGCAACGAGCGCAACCCUUGCUAUUAGUUGCUAACAGGUUAAGCUGAGCACUCUAAUGGGACUGCCGGUGACAAGCCGGAGGAAGGUGGGGAUGACGUCAAAUCAUCAUGCCCUUUAUGACCUGGGCUACACACGUGCUACAAUGGAUGGUACAGAGAGCAGCGAGGCAGCGAUGUGGAGCGAAUCUCAAAAAGCCAUUCUCAGUUCGGAUUGGAGUCUGCAACUCGACUCCAUGAAGUCGGAAUCGCUAGUAAUCGUGGAUCAGCAUGUCACGGUGAAUACGUUCCCGGGUCUU
rnacentral:rRNA from 1 species